ACUUAAAUUGAAGAGUUUGAUCAUGGCUCAGAUUGAACGCUGGCGGCAGGCCUAACACAUGCAAGUCGAGCGGUAGCACAGAGAGCUUGCUCUCGGGUGACGAGCGGCGGACGGGUGAGUAAUGUCUGGGAAACUGCCUGAUGGAGGGGGAUAACUACUGGAAACGGUAGCUAAUACCGCAUAAUGUCGCAAGACCAAAGUGGGGGACCUUCGGGCCUCAUGCCAUCAGAUGUGCCCAGAUGGGAUUAGCUAGUAGGUGGGGUAACGGCUCACCUAGGCGACGAUCCCUAGCUGGUCUGAGAGGAUGACCAGCCACACUGGAACUGAGACACGGUCCAGACUCCUACGGGAGGCAGCAGUGGGGAAUAUUGCACAAUGGGCGCAAGCCUGAUGCAGCCAUGCCGCGUGUGUGAAGAAGGCCUUCGGGUUGUAAAGCACUUUCAGCGGGGAGGAAGGCGAUAAGGUUAAUAACCUUGUCGAUUGACGUUACCCGCAGAAGAAGCACCGGCUAACUCCGUGCCAGCAGCCGCGGUAAUACGGAGGGUGCAAGCGUUAAUCGGAAUUACUGGGCGUAAAGCGCACGCAGGCGGUCUGUCAAGUCGGAUGUGAAAUCCCCGGGCUCAACCUGGGAACUGCAUUCGAAACUGGCAGGCUAGAGUCUUGUAGAGGGGGGUAGAAUUCCAGGUGUAGCGGUGAAAUGCGUAGAGAUCUGGAGGAAUACCGGUGGCGAAGGCGGCCCCCUGGACAAAGACUGACGCUCAGGUGCGAAAGCGUGGGGAGCAAACAGGAUUAGAUACCCUGGUAGUCCACGCCGUAAACGAUGUCGAUUUGGAGGUUGUGCCCUUGAGGCGUGGCUUCCGGAGCUAACGCGUUAAAUCGACCGCCUGGGGAGUACGGCCGCAAGGUUAAAACUCAAAUGAAUUGACGGGGGCCCGCACAAGCGGUGGAGCAUGUGGUUUAAUUCGAUGCAACGCGAAGAACCUUACCUGGUCUUGACAUCCACAGAACUUUCCAGAGAUGGAUUGGUGCCUUCGGGAACUGUGAGACAGGUGCUGCAUGGCUGUCGUCAGCUCGUGUUGUGAAAUGUUGGGUUAAGUCCCGCAACGAGCGCAACCCUUAUCCUUUGUUGCCAGCGGUUAGGCCGGGAACUCAAAGGAGACUGCCAGUGAUAAACU
rnacentral:rRNA from 1 species